AAAGCUCCCUUCGGGGAGUGCAUAAAGUGGCGCACGGGUGAGUAACACGUAAGUAAUCUACCUUCGAGUGGGGAAUAACCCGGGGAAACCCGAGCUAAUACCGCAUAACGCAGCGGCAUCGCAAGAUGACAGUUGUUAAAGGAGCAAUCCGCUUGAAGAGGAGCUUGCGGCAGAUUAGCUAGUUGGUAAGGUAAUGGCUUACCAAGGCUACGAUCUGUAUCCGGUCUAAGAGGACGGUCGGACACACUGACACUGAAUAACGGGUCAGACUCCUACGGGAGGCAGCAGUCGGGAAUUUUGGGCAAUGGGGGAAACCCUGACCCAGCAACGCCGCGUGAAGGAUGAAGUAUUUCGGUAUGUAAACUUCGAAAGAAUGGGAAGAAUAAAUGACGGUACCAUUUAUAAGCUCCGGCUAACUACGUGCCAGCAGCCGCGGUAAUACGUAGGGAGCAAGCGUUGUUCGGAUUUACUGGGCGUAAAGGGCGCGUAGGCGGCGCGGUAAGUCACUUGUGAAAUCUCUGAGCUUAACUCAGAACGGCCAAGUGAUACUGCAGUGCUAGAGUGCAGAAAGGGCAAUCGGAAUUCUUGGUGUAGCGGUGAAAUGCGUAGAUAUCAAGAGGAACACCUGAGGCGAAGGCGGGUUGCUAGGCUGACACUGACGCUGAGGCGCGAAAGCCAGGGGAGCAAACGGGAUUAGAUACCCCGGUAGUCCUGGCCCUAAACGAUGAAUACUUGGUGUCUGGAGUUCUAAUACUCCGGGUGCCGUCGCUAACGUUUUUAGUAUUCCGCCUGGGGAGUACGCUCGCAAGAGUGAAACUC
rnacentral:rRNA from 1 species